GUGGCAUGAUGAAGGUGUUUAUCCAUUCGCCGAGCGCUGCCGACUCUCUCCCUCAGCGGCCGUGCGGUCCGUUCUGGGCCGCGGGGUCACAGCGGUCUGGUUCUGCUCGGCUGGUCCAGUGUUCUGUUGGGUCGGCCGUGGCGGGGUCUGAUGUGCUGGUGCGAGGGGUCAGAGCGGUUCUGACAAAGACGAAUAGACGUGUCUGAUCAC
ensembl:snoRNA small nucleolar RNA, C/D box 17